AUUCGUAGACACUUUUUCUUUUGUUAUUGUGCAAAAUACGCAGUCAUUCUUUUAUCUCUCCGUUAUAUUCUGUACAAGUUUUGUUCCAUAGCGUAGUGUGAAUAAUAUGCUCAGAUCAUUGUUUAGAAAGGAGCAGAGAAUCAACAUUAUAAAUAUUCAUAUUUAAUUUGGAAAAAGUGAAGAAAAAAUUAUGUAAAUGUGUUGUAAGAUAAAAUUCUAUAUAUAUAUAUACCACUCUUUAAAAGAAUAAUAUAUAAAAUUCAUUUAAACUUUAAUACAUUUCAUUACCAUUAAACAUAAAAUGAGCAGUAUUAGAGUUUAAAUAAAUUUUGCCUAUGACUCUAAUUGUCAGAUCAUGUAUUUUUUUCAAAUCGUUUAAGAUAGCGAUGCCUAUAUACGAUGUUGGCAUCUUCGUGACCCCUCAAUUAGUCUCGAGAGGUUUCGCGCGCGAUGUGAGUACUCGAUGCUCAAAGGAUGCCUUGCAAAACGAUUUGGAAGUGAUCUACGAAGCAUGUAAAUACGGAUUGAUAUAAAGCAAUUUUAAUAUCGCUCAGAAAAUGUAACGAAUUUUAUUGUAGAGUUAGUUGCGCUCUGUAAAUCGCUCGGUAUUGUUGUGUCUCGAGAGAGGGGGAGAGAGAGGAAAAACUAUGCAUGAACAAGUCCGAGACGUGUGUCGUGUGAGAAUGUUGAUUUUAAUCCGUCAAUCUCUCGGCUGUUGGGCGGGGGGAGGGGAGGAGGGGAAAAUUUGGAGUCUCGUCAAGAAAGGACACGGUGAGAAAUUGCGAAUCCGACAGUCUUUUACAUUUUUAAGAUACAAAUAAGCUGAGUAAGAAUUGAUGUCGAGGAUUUUUUUUAUGUGUGUGCGAGGACGAUCUCAUGACUUGUGCGUAUCGAAAUUCAUUGAAAAAAAAAAAAAAGUGUCGAAAUCCUUUUGUCCACGACGAGAAUUACCAUGUGUCGCGCGAAACUUUGUAGGUGUGAAUAUUAAUCCGACGAUCGCAAACGGCAUUCGUAUGUAUAUGUUUCCCAAUUCGUACCGACAAUUUUACAUAAAAUUGUAAAAUGUUUCGACAAGUUUGCCGUGAUGCGAAAAUACUCAAUGCUCUCCGUAACGUUCUCCAUUGAUUGUAGUGUAUGUUAAACUAUGCCGAGAAUAAAAAACCCAAGCACCGUGGGUUAUCACAGAUUCCUUCGCGUGCCUUUAAAUGCGAAUCAGCGACGUAAUCACAUAUCUGUCGACAAUCCCACAAUUUGGAUAUACGGUGUUAUCUCUUGCGAAAUUUGGACUUGAUCUUCGUUUAUGCAUUAAUCGCGGUUCCUGUAAUCCGAUGAAAAUACAUGCGAAUUAAGCUUCAAAGAUGAAAACAAAUGAUAAAAUAUAAUUCGUCAUUUUAAUUUAAAGUAAGUUUUACUUUAACAGAGAAGAUUCGAAAUUUACAUUAGUUAAGUAAUAAGAUCUUCUUUAUUAUAUUCUUUUCGUAUUUAUUUUGGGACCGUUAAUAGUUCCAAUUAUCGCAUCUAUAACAAAACAAGCGAUUUAAAGCAAUAUAUACAAACAUGAACAAAUUUUCAAUUUAUCCUAUUACCAUCUUAACGCGAAAUUAUUAAUAUACAAAGCUAUUCUCGAUAUUAUAUUUAUUAUAUCUGCAUGUACAAAGUUUUAAUUUAUCUUUACGAAUUAUCAACUUUGUUGAGAAACAGAGUUGCGCGUUUCGUUAAAAGCAACCGUCGCGAUAAUGUGAGAUAACAGUCUUGUGGCGAUGUUUAUAACUGUAGAACUGUAAAAGAGAGCGAGUGGAAGAGUUUGAAAAGUAAUGUAACAGUGCACAGCCAGCCUUUCGAUUGAUGACUGAAUGAAGACGAUGACUGAAGUAAUCGUAAGGCUAUGGAAACGUCCGCAGAUCCUCGAAGCAACAGAUUGCGAGAGCGUGCGUCGCGAUCGACAGUGGUUGAUCCGCGAUUAAUCCGUGCUUGCUCUCGCGGAAAAAGAGAUAAUUCCUGAGACGGCGCGGACGCGGUUAUAUUUGGAAAACAGGGUCUCUUCUCUCUCUAUGGGUCCGGAAAUGUUAAUCGAUGACAGGCGACGAGGGGUGUGAUGCGAUUGAAAUUCGAUAUGCAUCGCACAUGUAUCCUAUCGGACAUCGUAUGUGAGGACUUUGAGCAGAAUGCGGAGUGCGUAAGGGACAUUAAAACAAUCGCAAGAAAAUCGGCUACUAAAUAAUAUUAUAUCGGAAACGCGUUUUCAUUCGCAUAUGUUUUAUAUAAUGUUUUAUAUAUAAGAAAAGAGAGAGAGAGAGAUUAUAUCGAUAGUAUUUAAUAAAUAUUUCUAUCGUAA